CCUGCUGAAGCUCAGAGGGCUCUGAUUCAGAAAGAUCAUCGGAUCCGUCUGAGCUUGGCU
ncrna:Canis lupus familiaris (dog) microRNA cfa-mir-127 precursor